ACGCUCGACACCUACUGGAGGCAGCAGUGGGGGAUAUUGCACAAUGGAGGAAACUCUGAUGCAGCGACGCCGCGUGAGGGAAGAAGGUUUUCGGAUUGUAAACCUCUGUCUUCGGUGACGAAAAUGACGGUAGCCGAGGAGGAAGCCACGGCUAACUACGUGCCAGCAGCCACGGUAAUCUGAGGCGGGCUGGCAAGGC
rnacentral:rRNA from 1 species